GGUUAAGCGACUAAGCGUACACGGUGGAUGCCCUGGCAGUCAGAGGCGAUGAAGGACGUGCUAAUCUGCGAUAAGCGUCGGUAAGGUGAUAUGAACCGUUAUAACCGGCGAUUUCCGAAUGGGGAAACCCAGUGUGAUUCGUCACACUAUCAUUAACUGAAUCCAUAGGUUAAUGAGGCGAACCGGGGGAACUGAAACAUCUAAGUACCCCGAGGAAAAGAAAUCAACCGAGAUUCCCCCAGUAGCGGCGAGCGAACGGGGAGCAGCCCAGAGCCUGAAUCAGUGUGUGUGUUAGUGGAAGCGUCUGGAAAGGCGCGCGAUACAGGGUGACAGCCCCGUACACAAAAAUGCACAUGCUGUGAGCUCGAUGAGUAGGGCGGGACACGUGGUAUCCUGUCUGAAUAUGGGGGGACCAUCCUCCAAGGCUAAAUACUCCUGACUGACCGAUAGUGAACCAGUACCGUGAGGGAAAGGCGAAAAGAACCCCGGCGAGGGGAGUGAAAAAGAACCUGAAACCGUGUACGUACAAGCAGUGGGAGCACGCUUAGGCGUGUGACUGCGUACCUUUUGUAUAAUGGGUCAGCGACUUAUAUUCUGUAGCAAGGUUAACCGAAUAGGGGAGCCGAAGGGAAACCGAGUCUUAACUGGGCGUUAAGUUGCAGGGUAUAGACCCGAAACCCGGUGAUCUAGCCAUGGGCAGGUUGAAGGUUGGGUAACACUAACUGGAGGACCGAACCGACUAAUGUUGAAAAAUUAGCGGAUGACUUGUGGCUGGGGGUGAAAGGCCAAUCAAACCGGGAGAUAGCUGGUUCUCCCCGAAAGCUAUUUAGGUAGCGCCUCGUGAAUUCAUCUCCGGGGGUAGAGCACUGUUUCGGCAAGGGGGUCAUCCCGACUUACCAACCCGAUGCAAACUGCGAAUACCGGAGAAUGUUAUCACGGGAGACACACGGCGGGUGCUAACGUCCGUCGUGAAGAGGGAAACAACCCAGACCGCCAGCUAAGGUCCCAAAGUCAUGGUUAAGUGGGAAACGAUGUGGGAAGGCCCAGACAGCCAGGAUGUUGGCUUAGAAGCAGCCAUCAUUUAAAGAAAGCGUAAUAGCUCACUGGUCGAGUCGGCCUGCGCGGAAGAUGUAACGGGGCUAAACCAUGCACCGAAGCUGCGGCAGCGACGCUUAUGCGUUGUUGGGUAGGGGAGCGUUCUGUAAGCCUGCGAAGGUGUGCUGUGAGGCAUGCUGGAGGUAUCAGAAGUGCGAAUGCUGACAUAAGUAACGAUAAAGCGGGUGAAAAGCCCGCUCGCCGGAAGACCAAGGGUUCCUGUCCAACGUUAAUCGGGGCAGGGUGAGUCGACCCCUAAGGCGAGGCCGAAAGGCGUAGUCGAUGGGAAACAGGUUAAUAUUCCUGUACUUGGUGUUACUGCGAAGGGGGGACGGAGAAGGCUAUGUUGGCCGGGCGACGGUUGUCCCGGUUUAAGCGUGUAGGCUGGUUUUCCAGGCAAAUCCGGAAAAUCAAGGCUGAGGCGUGAUGACGAGGCACUACGGUGCUGAAGCAACAAAUGCCCUGCUUCCAGGAAAAGCCUCUAAGCAUCAGGUAACAUCAAAUCGUACCCCAAACCGACACAGGUGGUCAGGUAGAGAAUACCAAGGCGCUUGAGAGAACUCGGGUGAAGGAACUAGGCAAAAUGGUGCCGUAACUUCGGGAGAAGGCACGCUGAUAUGUAGGUGAAGCGACUUGCUCGUGGAGCUGAAAUCAGUCGAAGAUACCAGCUGGCUGCAACUGUUUAUUAAAAACACAGCACUGUGCAAACACGAAAGUGGACGUAUACGGUGUGACGCCUGCCCGGUGCCGGAAGGUUAAUUGAUGGGGUUAGCGCAAGCGAAGCUCUUGAUCGAAGCCCCGGUAAACGGCGGCCGUAACUAUAACGGUCCUAAGGUAGCGAAAUUCCUUGUCGGGUAAGUUCCGACCUGCACGAAUGGCGUAAUGAUGGCCAGGCUGUCUCCACCCGAGACUCAGUGAAAUUGAACUCGCUGUGAAGAUGCAGUGUACCCGCGGCAAGACGGAAAGACCCCGUGAACCUUUACUAUAGCUUGACACUGAACAUUGAGCCUUGAUGUGUAGGAUAGGUGGGAGGCUUUGAAGUGUGGACGCCAGUCUGCAUGGAGCCGACCUUGAAAUACCACCCUUUAAUGUUUGAUGUUCUAACGUUGACCCGUAAUCCGGGUUGCGGACAGUGUCUGGUGGGUAGUUUGACUGGGGCGGUCUCCUCCUAAAGAGUAACGGAGGAGCACGAAGGUUGGCUAAUCCUGGUCGGACAUCAGGAGGUUAGUGCAAUGGCAUAAGCCAGCUUGACUGCGAGCGUGACGGCGCGAGCAGGUGCGAAAGCAGGUCAUAGUGAUCCGGUGGUUCUGAAUGGAAGGGCCAUCGCUCAACGGAUAAAAGGUACUCCGGGGAUAACAGGCUGAUACCGCCCAAGAGUUCAUAUCGACGGCGGUGUUUGGCACCUCGAUGUCGGCUCAUCACAUCCUGGGGCUGAAGUAGGUCCCAAGGGUAUGGCUGUUCGCCAUUUAAAGUGGUACGCGAGCUGGGUUUAGAACGUCGUGAGACAGUUCGGUCCCUAUCUGCCGUGGGCGCUGGAGAACUGAGGGGGGCUGCUCCUAGUACGAGAGGACCGGAGUGGACGCAUCACUGGUGUUCGGGUUGUCAUGCCAAUGGCACUGCCCGGUAGCUAAAUGCGGAAGAGAUAAGUGCUGAAAGCAUCUAAGCACGAAACUUGCCCCGAGAUGAGUUCUCCCUGACUCCUUGAGAGUCCUGAAGGAACGUUGAAGACGACGACGUUGAUAGGCCGGGUGUGUAAGCGCAGCGAUGCGUUGAGCUAACCGGUACUAAUGAACCGUGAGGCUUAACCUU
rnacentral:rRNA from 1 species